rnacentral:lncRNA from 1 species
GGCGGGGAAGCGGGGCGGUGCCGCCGGGGGGCGCGGGGGCGACAGCGGCACCGCCCUACGCCGCGGGCGGUUGACGGUCCUCCCCACGCCCCGCGAGAAGAGAAGGGUCCAGGUGGGCGGGCUCCUGUUCUGGAGCCUUGGUCGGGCGCGGUUGUUGGGUAGGCCCUUCCGGGUUCCAGGGAUCCGGAAGGUGGCCCCUGUGGGACCUCGGUCCGGAUACCGGAGGGGGCGAGAGGGCUGGGUGCGAGGGAGGUUGUGUCCACCUCUCGGGCUAGCGACAAAGGGCGCCCCCACCCCUGAGGCGCCCUCCCGGUUGCUCGGUGCACGACGUGGAAAGGUGGCCUGGUUCCUUGGAGGGAGAACUAAGGUUGAAGUCCGUGGCUGGACAUCCAGGCUUUUUCUAUCCCUGCCGCAGUACCCCCUUUUUUAUUCAGCAUUUUAGUUUUAGUCAUUCCAAACACACCUGUUGCGCGCGCAUUGCUUAUGCCAGCAGACCCUGGGGAACAAAGUCGACUAUCGUUCUGAAACAUUAAUAAUGGGGAAGAUAGGGAGUAAAAGUAAGCGAAACAGUGACAGAUGGUGACAAGUGCUGUGAACGAAGUAGCCUAGUGGAAAGAGUAGAUAUCGAUUAUAGCUAGAUUGAUAGAAAAGACCUGUUUGAAAGAUGUGCGAGACCUGGGAAGCGGGGAGGAGAGUGGUUUUAAGAGGAUGGUGUAUGGUUAGCCUUUGCAGAGGCCUGGUUGCUUCAGUGCCAUGUUCCUCAUCUUCUCAACAUCUGAAUUUCCAUCACACCUUUAUUAUUAUUACUACUACUAUUAUUUUUUACAUUUCCUAAAGCACAGCACUUUUCACCGUGUAUUGUAUUAUUUGAGUUACACACACAUAAAUACACACCAGUUCCCCCAAAGAAUAGUCAGUAAAUAGGUUCUUAGCAUCCACUGGCUUCUAGAUAUUCUACUAGGUGCAGAGGGUAACUUAAAAAGUGAACAGAGCAUUCAUGAAUGCUUUCUAAAUAUUGGUCCUGUCCUUUUAUGCCCAUCCUAUACAUCCUCUGUGGCUCCCUUUAUCCUUACUCCUUGGGAAUUUUUCUUUAAUAUUUAACCACAACCCAACUUUCCAGGCUUUCUUCUGGCUUUCAGAACCUAGUUACUUAAUUGGUGCAUCCAAUAAACUAAUUGGGUCCACCCAUUAGUGAAAAAAAGUACAUGUAUUAUUCUUCCUAUAUGAUGUUUGUGUUUGAUUUUGUUUGUUUAUAAUAGUAACCUGCAAGGUCAUAAUUCACAAUAAUGAAUGAAGUGAAAAUUUGAGGCACUUGACUAGCUAAGUUGAGAAAAUGUUUAAUGAUAUUAUGAAUAUGGACUAGAAAAUGAUGGUCUCUUCUAAGUCUUAAAAUGAAGAAACUAUUUGUUUAAUGGCCUACCUUGAUCUCUGCCUUAUUUAUUUAUUUAUUUUGGACAUUUGGCAAUCAGUAUCUACACUUGCCACUGUUUUCCUGUGACAUGAGAAGCCAUAUUGGGAAAGCUGAAUUCUUCUAACUGGAAUAUUGAUCUAAUUAUUAAAAAUUAGAUAUACCUUGAUUAUUCUGAAAAGUAAGUAAACUGUAAUUCAAUUCUCCUGAUUCUGUUUUAAAAAGUAAGAGUAUUGAUAUUGUCUGUUCCUACAUAACCAAUUAUCCCCAAAUUUAGUGGCCUGACACACUUUUUAAUUUCAAAGUUUUUGCAGGUAAGGAAUCAGGGCAAUUGUUUGCCUACCAGGGUUCUCUGCUUCAGAGUAUCUCACAGACUGCAAUGAAGUUAUGGGCCAGGCUUAUAAUGAUCUCAAGGCUUUCCUGGGGAAGGGUUCACUGUCAAGUUCUUUCAUAUUCAUUGUCAGGAUUCAGUUCUUUACAGGCUGUUAGACUGAGGACAUCAGUUCCUAGCUGUCUGUUGGUAAGAGAUCAACCUUAGUUCCUUGCCACAUGGGUGUCUCCAAUAUGGAUGGCACCUUGCUUGAUCAAAGUGUACUGCUAAGAGGCUACAGAAAGAGUGCCAAUAAGCUAGGCGUUACCUUCUUUUCUAACCUAAUUAGGAAAUAGGAUUCCAUUUUGUACCAUUGCUGUAUCUAUUAAAAGCAAGGUACUGGGUCCAGCCCAGGUUCAGAGAUUAUUUGGAGCCAUAUCAGAAACUGUCUACCACAUAAGCAAAGCACAAUAAACUGAUUAUAUGAAUUUGAGGCUCUAAAAAUUUUUCUUGAAUGUCCUGAAACAGUCUUAUUUGCUAUCUUUAUCAUGAAGACAGUAAAUGGUCUUCUGAGUGUAUGGCUUAAUAAACAUUUGUUUUUUGCCUGCUGUGUUCUGGCACAGCACCGUGCUAGAGGUACAAAGAUAAAUGACACUUUUUUUUUCCUGCCCUUGACUUACGGAAGAAAGAUGUAAGAAACAAUUACUAAUUAAUGUUAUACAUGAUAAAAUAAAAGCUUCACAGAGUACUCUGGUCAUAGGGAAAGGAGGAGAGAAACAUUUGUUCUAGGUCACAGAGAAGUAAACAGAAUAGGAAGAUAUGAGGAGAAAAAGGAAAAGAUUAUAUGUGGAUUAAGACUAAGUAGAAAAUUAAUCUUAUGCAUCAAUAAAAUAUAAAAGUAAUAUAUACUGUAUUCUGUAUUUUGUAGGCUUCAAACAAUCUAAAAUUGCCCCAUUGUAUGCUCAUAGAGUAUCUUUUACAACUUUUAAGUUUUAUAACUGAAUUCCUUCCAUUGAAAUAUACCUGAUAGAGCGUAUCAUGUCAUUUUAACCACAAAAAAUUAGAAAAAAAGGUAGUUAUUAAAUGAAAUAAAGCAAUUAUGAAGUGUAUAUUUUGAUAACCAACACAGUAAAAAACACUUGAGACUCUGUCCUGGUUCCAAUAUCUUAUCUUUAGCCUAUUGUAGCAUUUGAAGAAGUUGAGAACUGAAGCUGAUUCAAAUUUUAAUUUUACACUAACUGGCUUUGUAGCCAUGGGUAGUUCUCUCCAAAUGUUCAAUUUUCUCAUCUCAAUAUGGUGUUGAAAGAAAAAAAUGAGAGUCUAUUGGGGAUUAACUUAGAACUUUAUAAAUAAUAAAAGGAGAAGAUUUGGUUACAAAUUUGAUUCACUGAAAUAAAUAUAAUCACAUUUUCUAUUUCUAGAGGAAGUACUUCAUAUUCAUAAGUACUUCAUAUUCAUAAUAAUUGAUUCACUUAUAUAGAGUAAGCUACCCUGAAUAAUACUAACUUAAGAUUUAAUAUUUUUUUCAUCAUAACAUCAGUUGUAAGCAUGUUAACUUUUCAGAUUUUAAAAUAUCAGCAAGUAGAAGGAGAAAUUGAUCAUCAUUGUAAUAGGGAACAAAAAAGUGAUACUUAUAUUUUUAAAAUUUUAAAAAUUAUUGUAGUUGGUAUUUUCUUUCUCUGACUUAAUUUUUGACCAAAUGGUACUUGAAAAAGUAUAUCCUGGUGAUUUGCAUUUCAAUUUUCCAUUCACUCAUUUGUUCAUUUAUCCAAUCAAUAAAUAUUUAUUUAGAUCUUAUCAGGUACCAGCCAAUGUUCUAAGUGAACAAAUACAAUUGUGAACAAAGUCUGUGCCCUCAGUAAGCUUUUUGGGGGAUGAGAUAAUAAAUAAAUAUUAAAAAGGAAAUCUAGGUAUGUCAGACAAUGAUAUACCCUAAAGGAGAAAAUUAAGCAGAGAAAAAGGGUUUCUGAAUGUGGGAAGCAUAGGGAAGUGUUGCACAUUGAAACAGAGUGGGUUUUUGCUCCCUAACAAGAUGACAUUUAUGCAUGAAUGAAUGAAACAAAAAUGUAAGCCUUGGCAAUUUCUGGGUUACAUCAUUUUAAGCAUGGGGGAACAGUAAGUACAAAGACCCUGAGGCAGUUUAGUGUUUGGUAUAUUCAAGGAAUUAGGAGGAGGUUAUUGUGGGUAGAAGGCAAGUAGCUUUAGAAAAUCAGAGAAAUGGCAAGGCACUAAAUCAUGAAGGACAUUAUGGGUCACUGUAAGGACUUGGUUUUUCAUUCUCUGGUGAGACAUGAUGUUGGUGGAUGGUAUUGAGCAAACAUGUGAUGUGAUUUAGCUUUGGUUUUAACAGAAAUCACUCUGGCAGCAGGGUUCCCAAUAGACUAUAAGAGACAAAGGCAGAACUAGAGGUCUAGUUAGGAGGUGCUCUGUUUUGAAUAGGGCUUGUCCCUUCUGAAACACAUGUUGAAAUUUUUUGCUAUAUUGUGGUGGUGUUGGGAGGGGGGCCUUAAAGAGGUGGUUAGGUUGUUAAAAGGGAUUAAUGCCUUUAUCACAAGAAUGGGUUCUUAUAAAGGGAACCCAGAACCCCUUGCUUUUCUUUUUCUUCCAAAUGUGCUCACUUGCUCUUUAGCUUUUUCACCAUGUUGUGGAAGAAUACAAGAUCCUCACUAUAUGCCUGAUCUCCCUUCUCUAGAACCAUAAGCUAAAUAAACCUCUAUUUAUAAAUCUCCCAGACUCAAGUAUUCUGUGAUAACCACUGAAAACAGACUAAUACAGGAAACUAUUGCAAAACUUUGGGGAAUGAUUGAGAGUAACUUAACCUAGAUCAUUGUAGUAGAGAUAGUGAAAAGUGAACAGAUUCUCAAUAUAUUUUGAAGACUGAGUAAUAAGAUUUCAUUGAUGCAUUGGGUGUAGAAGGUGAGAGAGAGAGUUAAACAUAACUGUAAGGGGAUUGGCCUGAGAAACUUUAUUGAUAGAGUUAUCAUUUACACAUCUGAGGAAGAUCAGAUAUAGGGAGAAAUCUAGAGAUCAUCUUUGAUUACACUAAGUUUGAGGCACCUUCUAGACAUUAAUAGGCAGUUAAAUAUCCGAGUCUGGCAUUCAGCUGAAAGAUGUGAGCAGGAGAAAUACAUUUGGAAAUCAGCAGUCUAGAUGAAUUCCAAAAUUCUGAAAUUACCUUGAAGCCAAUAUAAACAGAGAAGACUGCAGACCCAGACCUCUUUCAUUGCCAAGUCACUCCCAGAGUAUUAAAAGGAAGUGGAGAGGAAAAGGCUAGAGAAUUCAGAAAUAAUACAAGUUGUUCAUUCAUUUGGUAGAUAUUUUUGAGCAUCUGCCAUUUGCCAAAAAAUCUGCUGGGGAAACGACAUGGCAGACCAGGUACAAGUAGGGCCUUCAAGUAACUGACAUUCAUCAAGUUGAACACCAAAGGACAGGAACAGAGAUAUACUAUAGUACACAUUGUUGAACAGAAGGAAGAGAAGGAGUGGCAAAGAAACAAUGGAAGUGCAGAACAGAUUCCAAGGUCUGAGAAGGAAAGGAAACUGUCUUUAAUCUCCAACUUAUCCAAAGAUAUGCUGGGCCAAUGGCAAUCCCUGGCAGCAAGAUAACAGAAAACAAAAAUUAUAAGAGAAGAAAGUAAGGUUACAGGAAGUGGCUGGGGGAAGGAGGAAUGUAGGAACAACGGAGACUACAUAGUGUCAUCCUUAGCAUGAAAUAGUUUAUACUUGGUCUAUAUUUUAGACAAACACAGGCUUAGCUCUUGUAAAAAGUUUGAAAGACAAACACAGGCUUAGCUCUUGUAAAAAGUUUCCUUACAUCAUGCAAAUACUCCCAAUAAAACAGCAGGUUUACUAAAUAGAUUGUAUUCUAAUGAAACUUUCAAUUGUAUUUUUUGUUGUUGUUGUUCAACUGCAGCUGCUCUAACAAUAGAAUAAUUUCCCCAGGAUGAUAAAUACUUUCUUUCUCAAAAGCAACACUGAAGCAACCUUUAAAUACACUUGGAGAAGUGUGUGCUGGAGGAGAGUUGAGCCUACUGAUAAAAACUAAGAGUAAAAGGAAAAAUGCUACCAGAAUUUAAAAAUAAGGAGAAAAAGAAAAUAGUUACUUAAUGAAGAUAAUUAACAAUCAUUUUCUGGGUUACUACCACAAAGAUGCUAUAAAGAAAUAGAGAAGACUUACAGGGUUUUUUUCAUUCACACUGCAUCCUAGAUCACAUGAUAGGUAGAUUAAAAUAACAGGGAUGGCUUCAACUCUAGAAUCACAUGUCUUACAGUAACAAAAAUACUUCCUUUGAACUCUAUUAUUUAGUGAGCAUGGCAUUAAUUUGCAAAAAAUGCAGUUAAAAUUGAGGAGUCAUUUGAAUUGUCGUGUUUCUUGCAGUUUUACCCAAUAAUGCAAAUUAUGCUGAAAUAUGGAGUAACUCAUACCAUUGUCAUGUUAGUUCACUCUGGUGUGUAAGAUUAGUUAUUGGGGCAGGGAAAAUUUCCCACAAAUUUCCGACUUGUGUAUAUUGGGAACUCUAGGUCUCUGAUUAGAGGAAGAAUGAGACCAUGGCCUUACUAAUUUAUGUUCAAGAGGAACUAAUAAUCCUGGGAUAUGACUAUCUGACAAAGGUUGGAACUAUGGAGCAGGAAAUGGAACCACCAGGGUGAUGAUGGAGUUGGGGAGAGGGAGUAAGAGUUAAUUUACUUACUCAAAACAUAUUUAUUGAGCUCUUAUUAUACACCCGGGAUUAUAAUGUAGAUCUGCAGAUAAGUAACGUGCAAAAUCUGAAUUAUUUUCCCUUCCAGUGGAGUUUACAACCUAAAGCAGUGGUCAUUAAAGAGGAGUACAUGUACCCUACGGACUGAGUGAGAUGAUAUAGUCAGGAAAUAGCUAUAGUGAAGUGAUAAAUGCUGUAAUGAAUUCAAGACUCAUAUCAGCUAUCUGUGAAAGAUCAUGUGAAAGAUAUCUUUUAGGAGAUGAGAAGAAAAUAUUAAAGUUUUAUAUAUUUUAAAAUAAAAAACAUUUAACACAAUGUAUAGUUUGAUAGUUAUAUGAUCUAUAAUUAAAAAUAAAAAAUAUAUGUAUUUUGAUAGUAUGGGCUUAAAACAUGUCACUGAUAGAUAAAGAAAAAAACAAUUGAGUAGGGUGUUAAACUUGAGAUUUUUGAAAUCUUGUUAAAUAUAUGACUUAUAGCCCAGCACAGAGUACAUGCCUAUAAUCCCAGCAACUCUGGGCUAAGGCAGGAAGAU